rnacentral:rRNA from 1 species
AGAUUGAACGCUGGCGGCAUGCCUUACACAUGCAAGUCGAACGGUAGAGUAGCAAUACUCGAGAGUGGCGAACGGGUGAGUAAUAUAUCGGAACGUGCCCAGUCGUGGGGGAUAACGUAGAGAAAUUUACGCUAAUACCGCAUACGAUCUAAGGAUGAAAGCGGGGGACUCGCAAGAGCCUCGCGCGAUUGGAGCGGCUGAUAUCAGAUUAGGUUGUUGGUGAGGUAAAAGCGUCACCAAGCCGACGAUCUGUAGCUGGUUUGAGAGAACGACCAGCCACACUGGGACUGAGACACGGCCCAGACUCCUACGGGAGGCAGCAGUGGGGAAUUUUGGACAAUGGGACGAAAGCCUGAUCCAGCAAUGCCGCGUGCAGGAAGAAGGCCGUUCGGUUGUAAACUGUCUUUUAGUACGGAACGAAAGGUCUAGCCCUAAGUACGGCGGCCAUGACGUACGAAG